UCCUCACUGGCACCCCAUCAAAAUGCAGAUCCUUUAUGAAGAGCUUUGAAUCCCUGCAUGCUGGCAGUCCAUCAAAGAUCGGCCUCAGCAGUACAUGCUCCUCAACGAUACCAAAACGUUCUAAAUUCUUUGCCUAGAGGAAUGCAACAGGAAAAACAAGAAAUUAGUACAGGGAAUUCAAGAGUUCCCACUCUAUAAAGGCCACAAGACUAGGCUGCGAUAAACAAGUUGGGUGAGGAGUAAGAAAAGAAACCACCGCGAGCUAUGGAAGAGAGAGAAAAUCCUUUAAAAACAAAGAUGGGAACCUAGAGAUGACCUGAAGUUUUCUUGUUUCUCUGUGCCACAACUGGACAAAGCGUCGUGCGUCUCACUACAACGGCUACUUCCGCUGGAUCAGACGGCACGGCUAGCCAAAUCUUGUGCCCACAGAGGUGAUGACAGCGAAGGAAUGAGUGACUAGGUGCAACUCUGUGUAUUUCUGCCCACCGCGUGACUGGACAAAACCUUUUUGGGUAGAAGCAGAAAGCAAACAAACAUCA